GUGCUCGCUUCGGCAGCUCAUAUACUAAAAUUAGAACGAUACAGAGAAGAUUAGCGUGGCCCCUGCGCAAGGAUGACACGCAAAUUCGUGAAGCAUUCCAUAUUUUU
rnacentral:snRNA from 1 species